rnacentral:rRNA from 1 species
GAUGAACGCUAGCGGCAGGCCUAAUACAUGCAAGUCGAGGGGUAGUGGUUGCUUGCAGCCAUGAGACCGGCGCACGGGUGCGUAACGCGUAUGCAACCUGCCUUCAUCUGGGGGAUAGCCCGGAGAAAUCCGGAUUAAUACCGCAUAAAAUCACAGUACGGCAUCGUACAAUGAUCAAACAUUUAUGGGAUGGAGAUGGGCAUGCGUGUCAUUAGUUAGUUGGCGGGGUAACGGCCCACCAAGACCGCGAUGACUAGGGGAUCUGAGAGGAUGACCCCCCACACUGGUACUGAGACACGGACCAGACUCCUACGGGAGGCAGCAGUAAGGAAUAUUGGUCAAUGGGCGCAAGCCUGAACCAGCCAUGCCGCGUGCAGGAAGACGGCCCUCUGGGUUGUAAACUGCUUUUAUUCGGGAAUAAACCUGCUUACGUGUAAGUAGCUGAAUGUUCCGAAGGAAUAAGGAUCGGCUAACUCCGUGCCAGCCGCCGCAGUAACAC